UUAAAAAUUUGAGAUAAUUUCAUAUAAUUUUAUGUAAACAUAUCCAAUGGCAGAUAUAUUCGUAAAACGUUUAAAUUUUUAAAUUUAGCCUUUCAAAAGUCCAAUGAUGCUUAUAUUUGUCCAUCUCGUUUGUUACCGUUAGCUUAUUGUUUAUUUUUCAAUAGAAGAUAAGUGAAAUGACAAUUUUGUCAUCAUAAAUAUGUCCCUCCAAAAGUCCCAACGUUAGAAUCGUGUAAAAAUAUUCUUCCCAAAAAAUUCCCAAUAGUUCUGCUCAUUCUUUCUACUAUCACAGAUAAUAUAAAAGGGGUAAAAAAAUUAAUUUAUCUCAUUCACUAAUCAGGGUUAAGUACUUUAUGUAUGGUUAAUUAUAUUUUUCCAACGAAUAUUAACAGCAGAGUAUAUUUGAAAUUGUUAUAAUUUUUUGAGAGAUAUAUUUGCUAGUCGAUAUGUUUACUGAGAUCUGUAUGAAAUUAUCCCUAAAAAUUAUAUCAAUUACCAUCCUAUACUUUGCCAUCAUAUCAAAUAUAUCCAAAAAAUUUAAAAACUUAGUGAAUUAUUAGGCUUAAAAACUUCAUUAAAACUAGUUCCACAUGUCAAUAUAUAUCCAAUUUACAACUCAGAAAAAUAUAAAAUGUUUAGAUAAUGGAGCAUCUUUAUUUUGCUAAUA
rnacentral:lncRNA from 1 species